CCAAGAAGCUUUGUGAAUGUCCUACAUGACGAAACUCUCAGAUGCUAGGCCCUGUAAUGCUAGUCACACUUCUCAAAACACCAAUACGUGGUGCACAAAGGCAUCAGAUGCCAUAUUUGUGCAAAUACAAUAUAGUCACAUUAAAUGGACCCUAUCCGUGAAAAUCUACUGCUCAUGUGGCUAUAUGAAUAAUAUACAGAUCUUCUGCAACAUCAUGACUAAAAGCAACAACCUUUUCACUCAAGAGGCAGUUUGUUUGCUCAUUUCACUAAAUUAUAUUUACUUUCUUGAACUUUAUGCAUUCCUAGGCUACAAAUAGGGUACUUCAUUUAAGUGGCAUCUGUAGUUGUUAGUCCAUUACCUGAGGAAUGUGAUCUUAUUCACAGAGAAGGACCAGACUAGUG